GAGUUUGAUCGUGGCUCAGAUUGAACGCUGGCGGCAGGCCUAACACAUGCAAGUCGAGCGGUAGAGAGAAGCUUGCUUCUCUUGAGAGCGGCGGACGGGUGAGUAAUGCCUAGGAAUCUGCCUGGUAGUGGGGGAUAACGCUCGGAAACGGACGCUAAUACCGCAUACGUCCUACGGGAGAAAGCAGGGGACCUUCGGGCCUUGCGCUAUCAGAUGAGCCUAGGUCGGAUUAGCUAGUUGGUGAGGUAAUGGCUCACCAAGGCGACGAUCCGUAACUGGUCUGAGAGGAUGAUCAGUCACACUGGAACUGAGACACGGUCCAGACUCCUACGGGAGGCAGCAGUGGGGAAUAUUGGACAAUGGGCGAAAGCCUGAUCCAGCCAUGCCGCGUGUGUGAAGAAGGUCUUCGGAUUGUAAAGCACUUUAAGUUGGGAGAAGGGCAGUAAAUUAAUACUUUGCUGUUUUGACGUUA
rnacentral:rRNA from 1 species